UCCCCAGUAGCUCAGCUGGCAGAGCAGGUGACUGUUAAUCACCGUGUCCGCGGUUCAAUCCCGUGCUGGGGAGCCA
rnacentral:tRNA from 1 species